rnacentral:rRNA from 1 species
UGGGGAAUAUUGCGCAAUGGGGGAAACCCUGACGCAGCCAUGCCGCGUGUGUGAAGAAGGCCCUAGGGUUGUAAAGCACUUUCAAUAGGGAAAAAAGGCGUACGGUUAAUACCCGUGCGAGUUGAUAUUACCUAUAGAAGAAGCACCGGCUAACUCCGUGCCAGCAGCCGCGGUAAUACGGAGGGUGCAAGCGUUAAUCGGAAUUACUGGGCGUAAAGCGCGCGUAGGCGGUCUGUUAAGUCAGCUGUGAAAGCCCCGGGCUUAACCUGGGAACUGCAGUUGAUACUGGCAGGCUAGAGUACGAGAGAGGGAGGUAGAAUUCCAUGUGUAGCGGUGAAAUGCGUAGAUAUAUGGAGGAAUACCAGUGGCGAAGGCGGCCUCCUGGCUCGAUACUGACGCUGAGGUGCGAAAGCGUGGGUAGCAAACAGGAUUAGAUACCCCCGUAGUCC